GUGCUUGUGUCGGCUGCCCAUUUGCUAAAAUGGUAACGAUGCAGAGGAGAUCAGCGUGGCCCCUGCAAAAUGAUAACGCGAAUCUGUGAAGCAUUUCAUAGUUUU
ensembl:snRNA U6 U6 spliceosomal RNA